AGAGUCCUGUUACUGAACGCUGGAGAUUUGGGAGUGAAGGAGCAGCUCAAGUCAUUUUCUCUUAGCAGGUUUCUUCGCACAUCUAAAGGAAGCACACUUCUUUCGCCUCAUUGCGCAGGGUCGUACUCUCAGGAUUGAAGCAUGGAUGAUGAUUUCGAGCGGCGCAGGGAGCUCAGGAGACAGAAACGGGAGGAGAUGCGUCUGGAAGCCGAGAGGAUGGCAUAUCGCCGGAGUGAGGAGGAUGAGGAGGAGGCCGCUCGUGAGCGCAGACGAAGAGCACGUCAGGAGAGAAUGCGUGGUAAGGAGAGUGAAGAUGUGGCCUACAAACCUGAGACGCCGGAGCUCAACAACAGCCACAGCGUUAUGGUGACAGAGAGCGUAUCCACCUCAGUGGUGACCUCCAGUGGGACGGGAGAGGACGAGGAGGAACAGGCCCUGCUGGAGCGCCUGGCUAAGAGAGAGGAGCGCAGGCAGAGGAGGAUGAAGGAGGCGCUGGACCGACAGGAGGAGGACGACACCAGCCGAACCUCAGAGCGCAGUGCUGGUCUGCGGACCGGCCCGAGCUACGAGGCAGAGGAGGAGCACAACAGCAAGGAGGUGGAGAAACAGGUGGAAGAGGAGGAGGUGGUUGUGGAGGAAAAGCCACGGAGGUCUUAUUUGAGAGAACAGGAAUCCGUUGAGGAAAUAUCUAAAAUACCUGAUGAGGACAAUAAUGAGCAAGAUGCUAUGCCCGCUUCCGAAGUACGUGAGGUGAUUUUAAAUGAAGACUUAAACGAUUCUGUUGUUUCGGGGACGGAUGUGGAAAAUGGCACAGCAGAACUCCCUGCAGGUGUACACGAGGAAAAGAGUGAGAUAAAGGGAUUGACAAAGAAUGGAGUGGAUGAAAUGAAAGAGGCAGAAAACGUUGAGAAAUAUGAGAUUUCAGAAAAUGACGAGUCUUUGAUGGAAGAUGAAGAUACGAUGAGGAAGAAUAAACAGCCAAAUGGAGGAGUGUGUGAGGACAGCCCUCUCAAACACAAGAAAGCCGAGAGGACUUUCAGCCGAGGCAGCUUACGCUCUCCCGAGGCGCCGGAAGCAGACGAGGCGGACGGCGAGGAUGCUCGCUUGGAGGCCGAGAGGAAGCUGGAGGAACUGAAGAGGAGGAGGGAUGAGAUGGAGAGCGAGGAGUUCGAGAGGAUGAGGCAGAAACAGCAGGAGGCCGAGGUGGAGCUGGAGGAGCUGAAGAGGAAGAGGGAGGAGAGGAGGAAGGUGCUGGACGAGGAGGAGCGGCAGAGGAAGCAGGAGGAGGCCGAGAGGAAAGCCAGAGAGGAGGAGGAGAAGAGGCGGAUGAAGGAGGAGAUAGAGAAGAGAAGAGCGGAGGCGGCUGAGAAAAGGCAGAAAGUGGAGGAUACUGUGGAUGGAGAGACCAGGAAGCCCUUUAAGUGUGUCAGUCCCAGAGGAUCCUCCCUGAAGAUCGGUGAGAGGGCAGAAUUUCUCAACAGAUCAGCACAAAAGAGUUCCUUAAAGGCAUCUCACGCACCUGUGGUGUCUAAGAUUGAUAACAGAUUAGAGCAGUACACCACCGCAGUGCAGAGCAACAAGGAGGUCAGAUCUCCCAGAUCAGCUGCCAUAGAUCUUCCAAUGGUGACGGACGGUAUUCGCAACAUCAAGAGCAUGUGGGAGAAGGGGAAUGUCUUCAGCUCUGGUGGAAGCCCAGCGUCAACCAAUAAGGAUGCAGCUGGGAUAAAGGUGGGCGUGGCUGGCCGCAUCAACGAUUGGUUAAAUAAAACUCCAGAGACAGGCAAAAUGUCAGGAGGAAGACCCACGGACUUAAAGCCAGGAGACGUGACCAGCAAACGCAGUCUAUGGGAAAACAAAGGGUCCUCUGCUACCAAGCCAUCCCCUUGCUAAUUGUCUACAGAUCUGACCGCCUUGAGGAGGACGCAAGCAGAGGAGAGACCAAAUCCGUCACCAAUGGAACGGGCCAUUAACCCUUCAAAGACGCCGGAGAGGCAGGGACCAAGAGAAUGCACAAACAUUCCUUUUUUAAACUUUUAUUAAUACCAAAAAACAAAAAAAAAAAAAAAAAACACACACACACACAUGAGCAUUUUAUACUGUCAGGAAGAUCUGUGUGUAGACAUGGUAUAAAAGAGAAAAAUGUAAAAAUAUAUAUAAAUAUAUUUUUUAUCACUGUAUUCACAGGCCACCAUCAUAACACAAACGCAGUUGCGUUUACUUUCUGUUAAACUGAAAUCUGUGAAAACUAGUAAUUAAGAUUAUAUAACAAUUAUAUAACAGCUCAAAACAUUACAAGAUUCCUUGGAUAGGAGGACGAGGAGUAGCAAUCCGAAUUGUCUUUUGUCAAAUCACAAAGCAUAUUACGCAUGUUAUUUACCCUUCUCACCUGUUAAUUUAUAACUAAAGCAAAGCUUCACCCUUCUUCAUUUCAUACAUGUUCGCCAGUUCAAGACUGAACAUGAGCACCCGUAGAGUAGCUGUAUUUUGUAGACCUACUUUUUGUUAUAAAAAAUAAUACAAAAAAAUGUCUUAAUAAUAUAUGUUAGCAUAUAGUGUACGUUUUUGUUUUUUUUGUUUUUUUGUAAUUAACUAAUUACUGCUUGAUACAAAAUGGUCUUUGCUUUUGCUUUCAAUAGUAUUUUAUAUCAAAGCAAGUUUUAAUUCCAUUAUAGUCCUACCGUUAUCAUUAUUACAUUAUCUUUGGCUUUUUGUACUCUUGGAAACACUGGUCUGAAGUUGUUUGACCAUCUUUUUGUAAGUGUUAAUCAUGUGGAAUAAUCGGUAUUGGAUGAAACGAGAACUCGAAAGAAAGGGAACAUGCACUUUUUUGGCUUAAUUCACACAUUUCACAAUUUCUGCAUAUAAAGCAAGACCUUGGUUAAUCCAGAAACACAUCAUGAUUUCAGCAAGGAAAAAGAGGACAAGCAUAUAGUCAAAGUCAAUUCAUGUUUAUAAGCGUUUCAUUUUUUGAGUGUCUUCUCUCUGUGCUGCAAUUGAUUCAUAAUAAAAUGUUGUUUGCUUUGAGUACAGCGCUAGUUUAGUAACUUCAUCAUUUAAACGGCAUCAUUUCUGACAGAGAAUAUCCGCUGUAGCUUAACGCUAAUGUCUCUAAAUGUUCCUGUAUUCUACGUGUAUUUUUUGACAAUCAAGUUUUUUACUAUUUGUAAGCACCCAUGUAUUGUUUCAGAGUAACACUAUGCAAGUCGCACCACCUUUAAAUGCAAUUACCUUGUUACAAAUAUGACCAUUUGUAGCCAAUAGUUCCAUACAGAGCAACAUUGUAUCAUUCUCAGUGACUACAAUAAAGAGACCAAUGAAAAACA